AAAAGAGCUACGAUAUAAGAUGAAAUCCAACAGUGUUGGCUUCGAUAUAAAUCCGCCCAACACAUUCAGUUAUGGCGCGAAUCCGCUAAAAAAAAUGGGCGAAGAAAUUUGGGAGGAGAUUCAGAAAUCAAAUCUUUCAAUAUCUUCAAUUAGGUCACUAAUCGUAAACCCUUCUACUUCUAAACACAUCAUCUCUGCUGUAUUCAAAACCCUAACUCAGUAUCUACAACAAGAACAAGAACAAACCUUAGAAAAUCAAAAUCAAAAUCAUUACCUCAAACUCCUCUGUGAUAUAGCUACUCAUCAUCGUGACUUCACAAGUAUCGUAUUCGACACGGUGCGCUCUUUCGCUUUCGGUAGUUCUGUUAAUUCGCAAUUUAAAGUUGAAUCUCUAUCAGUUCUUCUCACUAUUGCUGAGCACGAUGAAAAUUUAGUAUAUGCUAUUACUGAAUUUGAUGAGAAUGUUAUAAUUGAGCUUUGUUUUGAUUCAUCUGUGUCUGUUAGGUAUUGGAUUUUUAAGAAUUUGUUUAGAUUUCGGAUUCGAGAUGAAAUUUUACUUCGAGUUUUAUUAGGUUUUGUUAAUGAUCCUUAUCCUUAUGUGAGAAGAAUUUCUUUAGAUGGUUUAGUAAGGUUGAGUAAGUCAGUUGUGGAAUUUAAGAACGGUGGAUUGAUUGCGCAAGGAUAUGAUGGGGCGGUUGAUUUGUUUGUUGAUAGAAAUGAUUGUGUUAGGGCGGCUGCAAUUGGUGUGGUCUGUGAGUGGGGGCAGAUGUUACCGGAUUCUGGUAUGGAAGUUGGUGAGCAGGAUUGGUCGGAUUCGGUGUUUGUUCAGCUGUGUUCCAUGGUAAGAGAUAUGAGUAUGGAAGUACGGAAUGAAGCUUUUGUCUCUCUUGGGAAAAUGAAGAUGGUGUCUGAAGAUAUACUACUGCAGACCUUGUCAAAGAAAGUCCUGGGUAACCUAAAAGAAAGAAAAUUUCCUGGGAAGAGGAACGCGAAAAAUUUGGACCUACCAGCUUCAAAUGCUGCUGAUGCUUUUAUUCAUGGACUUGAGGACGAAUUUUAUGAGGUCAGGAAGUCAGCAUGUUAUUCCUUGGGGAUGCUUAUAGCUUUUUCUGUCAGAUUUGCAAUUGAUGCCUUGGAUUUGUUAAUGGACAUGUUGAAUGACCAUUCUACGGUUGUUCGGUUGCAAACAUUGGAGACAAUGUAUCGUGUGGUGACAUGUGAUCGUCUAAAGGUGCAAGAGGCACACAUGCAUAUGUUUCUUGGUACCCUGGUGGAUGCAAGUAACUUGAUUAGACAUGCAGCCAGAAAGGUCCUCAGUUUACUGGAACUGCCAUUUAUGAAGAUUUUUAAAUCAUCAAUUAAUGGCCUUCUUACCAACUUGACGACUUAUCCUGAGGACGAAGCUGAUAUCUUCUCUGUUUUGUUUUAUAUGGGUAGAAACCAUGGAAGUUUUGCCGUCAGCUUUGUUACAGAAGUGUCUCAAGAGAUAGAACCAUCCUGUGAAGAAGAGCUCAGAUUUGAUAAUCCAAGAGUAGCUGCAAUAUUGGUUUUAGCCAUUCAUGAACGUCUUGCAUGCUCGAUUCCAACAAAAGUAUUUUCAUAUGCAAUUCCUUUUCUUGGAAGAAUUGUUAUUUCUUUAAAAGAUUGUGCGACUCAAGAUGCCCUUUUGGCCUAUUUGUACAAGUUCAGUAAAAUUACACAUGUUCCUGCAUCUGUAGAGGAUGAUCUCUUUCAUGUUGCUGGAGGAAAGCUUCCGCUUCAUAAUAUUGAUGAGAUAUUCAAUCAAGUAUUACCCCUGCAACAAAUUUGUGGUGGAGCCUCUGAAGAUCAAUUUCAAAAUGAUAUGCGAGAUCUAAGGCAAACAACUUUCCCUCUAUCUCAUCAAUGGAAAGUGAUUUUCACGGACGAGGAGGCAGAGAAAAACGUGAAUCUUAUUCUCAGAACAGUAGCUGCUACCUGGCAACUGAUAAAAUCAGGGUUCACAGAUGAAGUACAAAAGACUUCGAGGAGCUGCAGUAAAGAGCUGGCAACAGUAGCUGUGAACUCGAACAGAUCAACUGGUUUGUUGGCCUUUGCGUCUCAAUAUGUUCAGGUAGUCCAACAUAUAGCAGAAAUAUGGAUUCAUUUUCUGCCAUUAAGUAAGUUCCAUUAUCUGAAAACAGGAAUGUUGGAUCAUUUAUUGGAAAAGCUAGAUUAUAAUCUUAGAAAGCUAAGGUACGAGUUUUCAGGGUUGAGUAAAAAAGAAGAACUACAUAUCUUAGAAUUGGUACUUCUUGCUUGUGUUGUGAGGUUGUCCGAAAUGGAGAUCUGUUGUAAUGUUAAUACAUUGAAGAGGGUGCAAUCUACCAUCUCCGUCAUUGAGCUUCUCUGUGAGGACUUGCACAUUCAACUUUCUGAAUUUGCUGGAGAACUGAGAAAGUCAUUGAGUGAAAGGGGAUACAUUGAUGAUGGUGCUUUGAGUCAGCAGUUUUCGUUUAAAAGGUUACUUGAUUUAUUUUCACUUAAAGAAAUGGUGUUUGAUGGAAUGCUAAAACACAUCAAGGCAGAACUCGGUGUACCAGGUAACAACUCAGAAAACCCUCUUUCCUUUGUUUCUGGAUUGCCCGCCGGUGUUACAUUCCAAAUCACAUUAUUCAACAUAUCAGACAAAGACAGAUUGUGUCUGAAGAUGUCUGUACAGGAGGCGGGUCUAUUUCAGUAUGUGUUUCUGGAUAUGAACCAAAUUGGAGGGUAUAACGAGAUCAACAAAGUAACAUUAAGUGUACCAUUUUACAACACCCCUAGAACAGCUUCUUUCGUAUUGAGAGCUUGUGUUAUGAAGGAAUGUCCAUCUGAAGAUGUGGGUCAACGAGCAAGAGGUUCUGGAGGGCCAAAAUGGGAGCGCAUCAUCAUCAGCAAUAUAACCAAAAUUUAUUUGGUUGCAGCCAAAUGUACAACCUGAAGGGUGGAAAAAGAUUUAUUUCACUAAUCUCCAAUAUUCUCUGGCCCAAGAAGAAGUUGUUCAGUGGGAGCUGUCGACAGCAUUUCUUUUCAUGUCAUGGAUUUUUGACAUGUAAAAUGAAAUCAGAGAGCAAAUGCCAUUGAAAAUUUAGGUUGUUGAGGUGCCAGCUCUUAAAGACAACUAUCAGUUGAGAGUCAACUAGAAUGAUGAGAUUUAUCGCACGAUGGGAGAGAGGAUUAUUGGACUUCACUGAGUUCGGAUUCUGAUCGGUUGGCAAAAGAUUUUUCUCAGCUAGGCUUGCAUUUGACUUGCAUUUUCUCAGCUAGGCUUGCAUGUAUUAGUUCAAUGCAUUUACUUCGGAAAAUAGCAAACAACUUCGAUUUACUUCCCAAAAUAUUUUCUACUCAUAUCCAUCUACCUCUACAAGCAGCAGGACUGAGCUUCUCACCUGAUAUUAUCCAAGUUAGCGUUGGCAAAAAUAUCCAUCUACCUCUACAAGCAGCAGGACUGAGCUUCUUACCUGAUAUUAUAAGUUAGCGUUGGCAAAAAUAUGGCAGUCAUGUUCAAGAAGACUGAUUUGAGGUGCUCUUCAACAACCAUGGGUCUUGAAGAAGUCUCCGUAGCAAUAAAAAGGAGGUACAGAGAGAUUGGAGAUUCGAUCUCCUUGCCUUGUACUGAAAUCUUAGUAGUUGAAAUGCACUGCAAGACCAAACCGCAUCAUUUGCCUCCAAAUCCGAUCCUUUUCAUAAAAGCAAUAAGAAAAUCCCACUGGUAUUGGACAUCCAGUUUGAGUGCAAGAUAAAUCCCCCUUAUUCUUUUUUUAUAGUAGUAUGGUAGUAUAAUCUUAUGUACAAGAAAAAUAAUAUCAGAACACGCUUAUAGUUGUUGCGUAUCAGAACACGCUUAUAGUUGUUGCGUCAUAGAAAUCCGCAUGUUUUGACAUUCCGAGAAAAUUUUGAUGCUCGAGGAAUGUCAUAAGACGGGAUGUUUUGCCAGGAUAUUUAAUGGCAGCUUUUGCCAGCAAGGUAAGCCGGGAGGCUGGUUAAAUUUUGGGUCACAGACUCCAAUCGGUUCAUGGUAGUUUUUAACAGCUAGACGGUUAGCUAAAAUCACCGUCACCACCCAAACCCCCGUCACCACCAAUAGACUAUCACCUAUUGUAUGAAUAAUUAAAAUACACCCAUAAAAAUAAGCACACAAGCCAAACAAGUAAAGACGUUGGCAAUCUACGCUUUAAGCUUAGCACCAUAAGAUGUUCUGGUUGUUAUCAAUCCUGACUGACGACUUGGUGAAAUAAAAUCCUACCCUCUAGCUUUCUUACUAAAAAAGAGGAAAAGAAGGUAAGAGGAAAAGAAGGUAUCCGAA